UACGGAGGGGGCUAGCGUUGUUCGGAAUUACUGGGCGUAAAGCGCACGUAGGCGGAUCUUUAAGUCAGGGGUGAAAUCCCGGGGCUCAACCCCGGAACUGCCUUUGAUACUGGGUAUCUGGAGGUCGAGAGAGGCGAGUGGAAUUCCGAGUGUAGAGGUGAAAUUCGUAGAUAUUCGGAGGAACACCAGUGGCGAAGGCGGCUCGCUGGCUCGAUACUGACGCUGAGGUGCGAAAGCGUGGGGAGCAAACAGG
rnacentral:rRNA from 1 species